UCUCCGUAGGUGAACCUGCGGAGGGAUCAUUACAGAGUUCAUGCCCUACCGGGUAGAUCUCCCACCCUAUGUUAUUAUUACUUUGUUGCUUUGGCGGGCCGUUAGGCUCCGGCCCGACUACCGGCCCCGGCUGGUAAGCGCCGCCAGAGGACCCAAAACCCUGAAUAUUAGUGUCGUCUGAGUACUAUAUAAUAGUUAAAACUUUCAACAACGGAUCUCUUGGUUCUG
rnacentral:misc_RNA from 1 species